rnacentral:lncRNA from 1 species
AAUUACAUUUGCAUGCUAAUGAAUAAAAGUUUUAUUUGCAUGCUAAUGAAGUUUUAUUGAUAUUUUUUUUAUUCGUAGGAAAAAGUCACAUACCAAGAAAUUUGCAACAAUUUGAUUACAGGUAUGUAAUCUUCCUUGGUAUUAUGCUUGGAUGGGAAUAACUAGUAGAGGUUGUGCCUUAUGCAAGGUAAUUCCAUAUUUCUCAGAUACAUCCAUGUCUUCUGGCUUUUGUCCAUCCGUGAGCUUCCAAUCAUAGUUGUAUAGAAGAGAUGCCAACACAACAUGCAGAGUUCUAGAUGCUAAUGGCAACCCAGGACAAAUCCUUCUUCCAGCUCCAAAGGGUAUUAGCUCAAAAU